rnacentral:rRNA from 1 species
GGAUCAUUAUUGAAUUUGAAAGAGGUAUUGUUGCUGGUCUUUCGGGACAUGWGCACGCCUCGCUCAUCUCCAUUCACACCUGUGCACUCUUUGUAGGUUGGUUUUGGACUUGACCUUACGGUCUCGUUUAAGCUUGCCUAUGAUUUUAUACAUACACUCAGUUUAUAGAAUGUCAUUGCGUUAAACGCAUUAUAUACAACUUUCAGCAACGGAUCUCUUGGCUCUCGCAUCGAUGAAGAACGCAGCGAAAUGCGAUAAGUAAUGUGAAUUGCAGAAUUCAGUGAAUCAUCGAAUCUUUGAACGCACCUUGCGCUCCUUGGUAUUCCGAGGAGCAUGCCUGUUUGAGUGUCAUGGAAUUCUCAACCCAUCAGUCUUGUUAUGAGGCUUUGAUGGGCUUGGAUUUGGAGGUUUAUGCUGCAUUUUUAUUAGUGCGGCUCCUCUUGAAUGUAUUAGUAGAACCUGCCGAGCAGUUCUCAGUGUGAUAAUUGUCUACGCUGUGAUUGCGAAAGCAUUAUGGGAUCUGCUUCUAACUGUCUACUUGUUUAGACAAUUUAUUUAACAUCUGACCUCAAAUCAGGUAGGACUACCCGCUGAACUUAA